ensembl:lncRNA
ACUAGAUGUCUCCCUCUUUCGUUUGUGAGAAACAAUUCCGAGAAUGGACGAUGAGAGACUGGUCGUCGAGGUGGAAAAAUAUGUUGAAUUGUAUGACCAAAGUUCCCAUCAUUACAAAGACAACUCCAAAAAGGACAUUGCCUGGCGAGCCAUAGCUCUGGAGAUUGGCUCUUCAGGGAUGCGUUUCUCAAAUUACACUGGGACCCACCGCGUGCCAGCCAUCUUUCCGCGGGAUACGUUUCUUUCUGGAGAAGUGAAGAGGGCGUCCGACUGAACAGAGAGAAUGGAUCAAGCGUCAGGAAGUUCACGUGUAAGUUCUUAUUUUGAAUGCAUAAUAUAAUAAGGUUGACUUCUAAUGCAAGCAACAGGACUUAAUAGAAAUAACAUGUCUCAACAGGGCACUGCAUGCUUAAAUGUGUUGUAUUGAGUAUAUGCCCAGAGCCAUAUGGAAGAGUAG